rnacentral:rRNA from 1 species
UGGGGGAUAUUGCACAAUGGGCGAAAGCCUGAUGCAGCGACGCCGCGUGGGGGAUGAAGGCCUUCGGGUUGUAAACUUCUUUUGCUCUGAACAAGGCAUGCUAAUGGGUGUGUUGAGUGUAGGGGUUGAUUAGCGCCGGCUAACUACGUGCCAGCAGCCGCGGUAAUACGUAGGGCGCGAGCGUUGUCCGGAAUUAUUAGGCGUAAAGGGCUUGUAGGUGGCUGGUUGCGUCUGUCGUUAAAGCUCAUGGCUUAACUGUGGGUUUGCGGUGGGUACGGGCUGGCUCGAGUGCAGUAGGGGAGGCUGGGAUUCCUGGGGUAGCGGUGGAAUGCGCAGAUAUCAGGAGGAAUACCGGUGGCGAAGGCGGGUCUCUGGGCUGUUACUGACACUGAGGAGCGAAAGCAUGGGGGGCGAACAGG